AUAUUGAUGAUUUACUCCAUAUUCUCUAUGUUGAGUUCAUGUUCAUGUUGUUAUUGAUCUUGAGAUUUCAUCUCGAGCCAUGAUUAUAUUCUGUCUCAUGUGCAUAGUACUCUCUACUCCACUCACUGAGUAUUUAUAUACUCACUCCCCAGUUUGGUGUUUUUGAUUGCAGGGCAGGUAUUGUAUAGAGAAGAGCAGGGUUAGAGAUUGCCUGUUAGCUGUGCCGCUCCAUAGUAUAGUAUAGUAUAAUGUAGAUAGAGGUUUAUACCUUUUGGUGUAUUAUAAACCUUCUAUUGUAUAUAGUGCAUAGUUACAGUCAUAAAUCCUGUUGUGGAUAUGGGUUUGACCAUGGAUGGAUUGGGAAGCAGGUAUAUAUAUAUAUGUGUGCAGAUCAGUUGUGUGCCUGUGAUAAUGUAUUGCUAAAUAUUGUCCAGGUUUAUUAUGUGACAGAUUAUGUGAUUGCUGCUCUGACAGAUAGUGUGUUGUAUGUAUUGAGAUAAUCCUGACAGGUCACUAUAGGAAAAGUGAUCAUUUUGUGCAUGCAUCAUGCCAAAAUUUUUAGAAUUUAAUAAUGAUUGAUAGGUAAUAGGGUUCUACGUGGUGGC
rnacentral:lncRNA from 1 species